UGAAGUGCCGAGCCUGGAAGUGGCCCCUCACAGAAGAUGGCCGGUCACCUCCCCCAGCCCCGGCAUCGUCCCCGGCCGGCCGCCCAGGGCCCUGGAGCCAAGCUGACACUCGGUCCAGGAGUCGCUCUUAAACUCGAGCUCAGAUGGACGUAGAAACACAAGAGGAGCCAAAUCAUAUGUUUAAACAGUUCAAGAGGAAACCAGGCUCAGCAAGCAACUCCAACCCUGGAUUUAGCCUGGGUCCCUGUCAAUCACCAAACUGCUCUUCCAAGGACUCCUGUAUUUUCCAGAAGGAAGGAAGCUUAUUCCAGCGAGAACGUUUCCUAUCCAGUGCAGUCCUGAGCCCCAGACGUGAACCCGACGCUUCAUCUACCCAUGGCAUUGAUGUCUCUCAUUCAGUUGAAGACAUCAAUAUUUGUUCAAUAGUAUAAGUCUUAAAUAAACAUCCAAACGACGUAUUACA